rnacentral:rRNA from 1 species
UGGGGAAUAUUGCACAAUGGGCGCAAGCCUGAUGCAGCGACGCCGCGUGAGGGAUGGAGGCCUUCGGGUUGUAAACCUCUUUCGCCAGUGAAGCAGGCCAUCUUCUUUGUGGGGUGGUUGACGGUAGCUGGAUAAGAAGCGCCGGCUAACUACGUGCCAGCAGCCGCGGUAAUACGUAGGGCGCGAGCGUUGUCCGGUAUUAUUGGGCGUAAAGAGCUCGUAGGCGGCUGGUCGCGUCUGUCGUGAAAUCCCCUGGCUUAACUGGGGGCUUGCGGUGGGUACGGGCCGGCUUGAGUGCGGUAGGGGAGACUGGAAUUCCUGGUGUAGCGGUGGAAUGCGCAGAUAUCAGGAGGAACACCGGUGGCGAAGGCGGGUCUCUGGGCCGUUACUGACGCUGAGGAGCGAAAGCGUGGGGAGCGAACAGG